rnacentral:rRNA from 1 species
AUUGAACGCUGGCGGCAUGCCUUACACAUGCAAGUCGAACGGUAACGGGCCUUCGGGUGCCGACGAGUGGCGAACGGGUGAGUAAUGUAUCGGAACGUACCUUCCAGUGGGGGAUAACGUAGCGAAAGUUACGCUAAUACCGCAUAUUCUGUGAGCAGGAAAGCAGGGGAUCGCAAGACCUUGCGCUGAUUGAGCGGCCGAUAUCAGAUUAGCUAGUUGGUGAGGUAAAGGCUCACCAAGGCGACGAUCUGUAGCGGGUCUGAGAGGGUGAUCCGCCACACUGGAACUGAGACACGGUCCAGACUCCUACGGGAGGCAGCAGUGGGGAAUUUUUGGACAAAUGGGGGCGAACCCUGAUCCAGCCAUGCCGCGUGAGUGAAGAAGGCCUUCGG